CCUACGGGAGGCUGCAGUAGGGAAUCUUCCACAAUGGGCGCAAGUCUGAUGGAGCAACAUCGCGUGAGUGAAGAAGGGUCUCGGCUCGUAAAGCUCUGUUGUUGGAGAAGAACGUGCGUGAGAGUAUCUGUUCACGCAGUGACGGUAUGCAACCAGAUCGUCACGGCUAAAUACGUGCCCGCAGCCGCGGGAAUACGUAGGUGGCAAGCGUUAUCCGGAUUUAUUUGGCGUAAAGCGAGCGCAGGCGGUUGCGUAGGUCUGAUGUGAAAGCCUUCGGCUUAACCGAAGAAGUGCAUCUGAAACCGGGCGACUUGAGUGCAGGAGAGGACAGUGGAACUCGAUGUGUAGCGGUGGAAUGCGUAGAUAUAUGGAAGAACACCAAUGGCGAAGGCAGCUGUCUGGUCUGCAACUGACGCUGAGGCUCGAAAGCAUGGGUAGCGAACAGGAUUAGAUACCCUAGUAGUC
rnacentral:rRNA from 1 species